GAUGAACGCUGGCGGCGUGCCUAAUACAUGCAAGUCGAGCGAACAGACGAGGAGCUUGCUCCUCUGACGUUAGCGGCGGACGGGUGAGUAACACGUGGAUAACCUACCUAUAAGACUGGGAUAACUUCGGGAAACCGGAGCUAAUACCGGAUAAUAUAUUGAACCGCAUGGUUCAAUAGUGAAAGACGGUUUUGCUGUCACUUAUAGAUGGAUCCGCGCCGCAUUAGCUAGUUGGUAAGGUAACGGCUUACCAAGGCGACGAUGCGUAGCCGACCUGAGAGGGUGAUCGGCCACACUGGAACUGAGACACGGUCCAGACUCCUACGGGAGGCGGCAGUAGGGAAUCUUCCGCAAUGGGCGAAAGCCUGACGGAGCAACGCCGCGUGAGUGAUGAAGGUCUUCGGAUCGUAAAACUCUGUUAUUAGGGAAGAACAAAUGUGUAAGUAACUAUGCACGUCUUGACGGUACCUAAUCGGAAAGCCACGGCUAACUACGUG
rnacentral:rRNA from 1 species